rnacentral:rRNA from 1 species
AGCGGCGGAUGGGUGAGUAACACGUGGGGAACCUGCCCCUAAGUCUGGGAUACCAUUUGGAAACAGGUGCUAAUACCGGAUAAUAAAGCAGAUCGCAUGAUCAGCUUUUGAAAGGCGGCGUAAGCUGUCGCUAAGGGAUGGCCCCGCGGUGCAUUAGCUAGUUGGUAAGGUAACGGCUUACCAAGGCGACGAUGCAUAGCCGAGUUGAGAGACUGAUCGGCCACAUUGGGACUGAGACACGGCCCAAACUCCUACGGGAGGCAGCAGUAGGGAAUCUUCCACAAUGGACGCAAGUCUGAUGGAGCAACGCCGCGUGAGUGAAGAAGGUUUUCGGAUCGUAAAGCUCUGUUGUUGGUGAAGAAGGAUAGAGGUAGUAACUGGCCUUUAUUUGACGGUAAUCAACCAGAAAGUCACGGCUAACUACGUGCCAGCAGCCGCGGUAAUACGUAGGUGGCAAGCGUUGUCCGGAUUUAUUGGGCGUAAAGCGAGCGCAGGCGGAAAAAUAAGUCUAAUGUGAAAGCCCUCGGCUUAACCGAGGAACUGCAUCGGAAACUGUUUUUCUUGAGUGCAGAAGAGGAGAGUGGAACUCCAUGUGUAGCGGUGGAAUGCGUAGAUAUAUGGAAGAACACCAGUGGCGAACGCGGCUCUCUGGUCUGCAACUGACGCUGAGGCUCGAAAGCAUGGGUAGCGAACAGGAUUAGAUACCCUGGUAGUCCAUGCCGUAAACGACGAGUGCUAAGUGU